GACGAACGCUGGCGGCGUGGAUUAGGCAUGCAAGUCGAACGGUAUCAUCCUUUCGGGGGUGAGAGAGUGGCGAACUGGUGAGUAACACGUAGGUUAUCUACCCUCAAGACGGGGACAACCCAGGGAAACUUGGGCUAAUACCGGAUGUGAGCAACUUUUAGUUGUUUGAAAGGUGGCGUAAGCUGUCGCUUGGGGAUGAGCCUGCGUCCUAUUAGUUAGUUGGUGAGGUAACGGCUCACCUAGGCAAUGAUAGGUAGGCGGCCUUAACGGGUGGUCGCCCACACUGGGAUUGAGAUACGGCCCAGACUCCUACGGGAGGCAGCAGUCGAGAAUAGUCUACAAUGGUCGGAAGACUGAUAGUGCGACGCCGCGUGAACGAUGAAUCCCUUCGGGGUGUAAAGUUCUUUUAUAUGUGAGCAGUGCUUCUUAUAUUUAACAGUAUGGGGAGAGAGAUAUUAGCAUAUGAAUAAGCAACGGCUAACUCCGUGCCAGCAGCCGCGGU
rnacentral:rRNA from 1 species